rnacentral:rRNA from 1 species
GACGAACGCUGGCGGCGUGCUUAACACAUGCAAGUCGAACGGAAAGGCCCUGCUUGCAGGGUACUCGAGUGGCGAACGGGUGAGUAACACGUGGGUGAUCUGCCCUGCACUUCGGGAUAAGCCUGGGAAACUGGGUCUAAUACCGGAUAGGAGCCAUUUUUAGUGUGAUGGUUGGAAAGUUUUUUUCGGUGUAGGAUGAGCUCGCGGCCUAUCAGCUUGUUGGUGGGGUAAUGGCCUACCAAGGCGGCGACGGGGAGCCGGCCUGAGAGGGUGGACGGCCACAUUGGGACUGAGAUACGGCCCAGACUCCUACGGGAGGCAGCAGUGGGGAAUAUUGCACAAUGGGCGCAAGCCUGAUGCAGCGACGCCGCGUGGGGGAUGACGGCCUUCGGGUUGUAAACUCCUUUCGCUAGGGACGAAGCUUUUUGUGACGGUACCUAGAUAAGAAGCACCGGCUAACUACGUG